UACACAGCUCCUGGGUCAGUUUUAAACAGCCUCUCACUGUUCCAGAGGUAUUUCCGAAAUAGCGGUUAGGCUACCUACAAUCAUUUCAAGUGCAAUGUCUGCACGUCCAACAAUUCUCCAGCUGCACGUCACAAAAGAAAUGUCUGGUGAAAGCAACACCUGCUCACUGUUGUAUUUGUUCUGGUGAAAACCUGUGUUUCUAUCCCCCCUCAUUCCUCUGACCUUUGACCUUGUAGAUGUUUGCAGACUCUUGCCCUCUCCCAGGCUCUCCAGUCAACCCGGUCUUGGCCCACACAACAGUCAUGUCGACAGCCAGGUCAAAAGGUUGUUCUUCAUAAUGUACUGCCGCUUUCCACAGCCAGCCUGUAAGUCUCAGCUCUUGGACCUCUAGCCCCGCCCCACUUACACGUCAGACCUGGGUCAAAUACAUGUGUCAAAACAGUGUGCAGGCUGUGGGUGGAGUUGGCAGUUUAUGAGACUAUUCCAUUGGUUGCAUUGUACAGGGCAAGCUAAGUCAAGUUAAGUCAAGCUAAGUCAAGCUAAGUCAAGCUAAGUCAAGCUAAGUCAAGCUAAGUCAAGCUAAGUCAAGCUAAGUCAAGCUAAGUCAAGUUAAGUCAAACUAAGUCAAACUAAGUCAAGCUAAGUCAAGCUAAGUCAAGCUAACUCAAGCUAAGUCAAGCUAAGUCAAACUAAGUCAAGCUAACUCAAGCUAAGUCAAGCUAACUCAAGCUAAGUCAAGCUAAGUCAAGUUAAGUCAAGCUAACUCAAGCUAAGUCAAGUUAAGUCAAGCUAAGUCAAGCUAAGUCAAGCGCACCUCCAAAGUCUUUGGCAUAUAUAUAUGUCACCCAGUUCUGAUAUAUACUGUCAUUGACUGCGACGCAAUGUAGAUUUUCCUUAAAAACAGAACGUUAAUUUUCUACUCCUCCUAUGGUCUCUUGUAGAAAGAUACACGUUAUGUGAAUACUUUACUGUAUAGUUGGCGCGAGCGUGUAUUAAAUACACAGUCUGUGUGUCUUUGUAAACCCAAUGUAAAUAUGAAUUCUAUAUAGUGUCUGUAUGUCUUUGUAAACCUAAUGUAAAUAUGAAUUCUAUAUAGUGUCUGUGUGUCUUUGUAAACCUAAUGUAAAUAUGAAUUCUAUAUAGUGUCUGU
ensembl:lncRNA